AAAGUUAUGUAGUUCUUUAUCUCCUUGACAUCUGAUGGGAGGGCGCCACUGCCAAGAUGGCCCUCUGCCUGGUUCCCUGUAACUUCUCAAAGUGUGGGAGCCACCAGAAGACCUUCAGAGGAGGACUUUGGUGUCCAGACUGAGCAAUGGGGGUGGAGAUGCUCCUUCAGGUAUACUGAACCAAGGCUCUUUAUUGGAUUGAUGCAGGCAGAGAUGGCUCCAAAGGCAUGUCAAGUCUCAGGCCCUGAGGAGCUUUAAAGGUAAAGAUUGUUGCCAUUUUCCAAAAGCGACAACGGGCAUCAGAAUUGAUAUGGCUGGUGGAAUUCCUGCUGCUUGUGCUUUACACAUGCCCCCAUGUGGAAGUCAUCUUUCUGCAAUACAAUUCCACAUGGUGUGUGAAUUUUGCAACCAUGUGGUCAGGGCAGAUUAUGUGGGGCCUUCCCCUGCAAUCAGCAAACUACCCAAGCUAUCUGACUCACCCUCAUAUUUGCAUAGGUUAAUAAAAUUGUAGAGUUGGAAUGUUUCCCAAGGGUCAUCCAGUCCAAUUCCCCUGCGAUGCAGGAAUCUCAGCUUGCAAGUCCAAGCCAUGUGACAUUGCAUCAGAGAACAGUGGCUUCCAUGUGGAAUUCAACCAAUGUUAUGGACGCCUCUUAACAUCUAUUAGCAUCUGUGAAAGCAGGUGACAACCAAUCUCAUCAUGUUACACUUCAUUUGAUGCCAUGUUACAGUAAAAAAAUAUGUCUGAUUCUA